rnacentral:lncRNA from 10 species
AAACUUUUGGAGAUUUUUUAGCACUUGGUGGACUGUUGUUCCUAAAAUGUGAUUUGCCCAUUUCUAAAGAGAUUAUGGUCAAGGGUAUAAAACAGCAUUUAAUUUUUUUUGAGACAGGAAAUACAGAUGGGAUUGUUUUACCAUUCGCAUGCCUUAUUCCUUGUUACCUUAACAAAGACCAGAAGCUCAUUAGAAAUGCAGAAUCCCAGGCCCCAUCCCAGACCUCCGGAGUCAGAAUCCUCAUUUUACUAGGACGACCAGGUGAUUCAUAUGCACAUUUAACAUUUGAGAAGCACUGUUCUAGGGGAAAAAUUUCCCACAAGGUAAAAUGUUAGAUGCCAGUUAAUGGGAAGAAGUUGAUCUGCUCUGAUGACUGGUUUCAGAAUGGACUCGUAUAACUAAAAUAGUAGGGACCCUCCUCAGAAGCCAAGUAGCCCCUGACUACAGUGUCACUUUAUUGGCAUGGUCUUUUGGCUGACAUAGCCUACACGAUUUCCUUCUACCAGAGGGAUCCUGACUGCUCCUGCUUCAUAUCUUGGGUAUGUAGCUUAUGGUCCAGGUCUGAAAGGAGUGCCUGGUCCAAUAUGGUCACGAGGUCAGCUCCUCAGGGAAAGAAGACCAUGACUACGCCAUUCGGGUAGUCAAGGUGUGUGUGUAGGCACACCAGUGUGUUCAUGCAUGUGUAUGGAUGUGGGGAUGGGGA